rnacentral:rRNA from 1 species
UACGUAGGGAGCAAGCGUUGUCCGGAAUCAUUGGGCGUAAAGAGCUCGUAGGCGGCUUGGUAAGUCGGAUGUGAAACCUCCAGGCUCAACCUGGAGUCGCCAUCCGAUACUGCCAUAGCUAGAGUCCGGUAGGGGCCCACGGAACUCCUGGUGUGAGCGGUGGAAAUGCGCAGAGUAUACAGGAAGAACACCGGUGGCGAAGGCGGUGGGCUGGGCCGGCACUGACGCUGAGGAGCGAAAGCGUGGGGAGCGAACAGG